GGAGUAGCUCAAUGGCAGAGCAACUGAUUUGUAAUCAGUAGGUUGCGGGUUCAACUCCCAUCUCC
rnacentral:tRNA from 2 species